rnacentral:rRNA from 1 species
AUUGAACGCUGGCGGCAUGCCUUACACAUGCAAGUCGAACGGUAACAGGUUAAGCUGACGAGUGGCGAACGGGUGAGUAAUGUAUCGGAACGUGCCCAGUCGUGGGGGAUAACUGCUCGAAAGAGCAGCUAAUACCGCAUACGACCUGAGGGUGAAAGCGGGGGAUCGCAAGACCUCGCGCGAUUGGAGCGGCCGAUAUUAGAUUAGGUAGUUGGUGAGGUAAAGGCUCACCAAGCCGACGAUCUGUAGCUGGUCUGAGAGGACGACCAGCCACACUGGGACUGAGACACGGCCCAGACUCCUACGGGAGGCAGCAGUGGGGAAUUUUAGACAAUGGGCGCAAGCCUGAUCCAGCCAUGCCGCGUGCGGGAAGAAGGCCUUCGGGUUGUGAACCGCUUUUGUCAGGGAAGAAAAGGUUCUGGCUAAUACCUGGGACUCAUGACGGUACCUGAAGAAUAAGCACCGGCUAACUACGUG